UAUCAGCUGCUGAUUAUUACGUUAUUGAUAAGCGUGUUUAUUGUAUGUUUAUAGGAUUUAAUGUGUCCCAGUGCCGCAAACGAUUCAUACCGACUGGUUUCUUGAACCGAUUCAAAAAGGGAUUCGUUUGCUAAUCGUGUAGCAGAUACAGUCUCUCUAGUUUCAUCUACAGCCUGCUGUUUCUCCACCUCCAUCUGUUUCUUGAC